rnacentral:rRNA from 1 species
CCUACGGGAGGCAGCAGUGGGGAAUAUUGCACAAUGGGCGCAAGCCUGAUGCAGCAACGCCGCGUGAGUGAUGAAGGCUUUCGGGUCGUAAAACUCUGUCCUAAGGGAAGAAUAAAUGACGGUACCUUAGGAGGAAGCCCCGGCAAACUACGUGCCAGCAGCCGCGGUAAUACGUAGGGGGCAAGCAUUAUCCGGAAUCACUGGGCGUAAAGGGUGCGUAGGCGGCUGAGCAAGCCAGGGGUGAAAGGCAGUAGCUUAACUAUUGUAAGCCUUUGGAACUGUUCAGCUUGAGUGUAGGAGAGGUAAGUGGAAUUCCUAGUGUAGCGGUGAAAUGCGUAGAUAUUAGGAGGAACACCAGUGGCGAAGGCGACUUACUGGACUAUAACUGACGCUGAGGCACGAAAGCGUGGGGAGCAAACAGGAUUAGAUACCCCAGUAGUC